rnacentral:lncRNA from 1 species
GUUGUAUGUGGUUAUAUUUCUGCAUAUUUUUGUGGAAUUUUCUUAUAAUAUCGUUUAUUUGUUUAAUAUUUGUUGAGUUUUUAAGCAUAUAAGGACUAUAUUACUAUAAUUACUUAUUUGGGUCCUAUACAAAGGCAGUAAUGACUUGUGAAGUGUGUUUUCGUAACCGUGUAAGAUGAGUGGUGGUAACAUUUGUAGCAUAGCUAUAUGUAAAAGCAACUCCAAAAUUCCUGAACCAGAUGGAAACAAAAUAAUGUUUUUGGACAUUUCCCAAAUACCUUAAAUUAUCAAACAAUAAUGGAUAAUAAAAUGUUACAAGAUAAAUGGGCCUCUGAACAUAAGAAAAUAGGUAGCAAACAUUUCCUCGUGUCUGAAUAUGUUAAUAUUAUGUUACGUCUUUUUUAUAUUUUAACCUAAUAAUAAAUUAUUUAUAUUAUUCGUUCUUUUGUUGUUGCAUACCACCAAAAAUGAUAAAAGUGCUGCACAUUCCACGAAAAACAUAAUAAGUAAGUACCUACAUAUUAGUAUUUUUGAUUUUAAACUUUUUCUUCUAUUUUUUUGGAUUUUUGUGCUAAUUAAAUUGUUUUCUCCAUUUAAAACACACAUAAUAAGUGUUAAAUGAAUUCUAGUUUUUUGUUAGCAGACUAUUGAUUUUUAAGGGAAAAAUUGAUAUAAUUACCAAUAUAAGAACCACUUAAAUAUACCUAUACCCAAGAAAAUCUCAAAAUAUAUUGCAAAACCUAAGUUUUUGAACCUUUUAUUAGCAUUGACUCUUAUGACAAUUUUAAAAUUGUCGUACGGAUGACGUAUUCCCGCCUUUAAAAAGCCAGCCUUUGAUUGGUCUACAGUUAUGAGACAACCUACGCCCUAAUCUAUUAACCUUGAGCCCUAUAGGGCUUUUCAUUCACAGUCACAGUCAUUUGUUUCGAGCUUCUGUCAUGUGUCACAUAAUAUUAAUAUAUCUACGUCAUACGUUAGUUAUUGGUAUUUUACUUAGACCCGUUUGCCAUUAUACUAAUUUCAGUACUAAAAAUAUUGGUUAGUUGCGCGAGUCGAUUUAGGCCCGGUCUUUUCACCUCCGAAUAAAUAUGCUCUUAUCUGGCAGUUAGCUAUCUGGAGUAUAAAUAUUUAUUCGCCAGAUAAAAUGUACCCGUCUUUUCACGUCAAUUUAUGUUCCAGUUAGUUAUCCGGUAGAUAAGCUUAAAACUUUAACUUAACCUAACAUAAUUAGAUUCGAAGUAUUUCAAAGAUGAUUUUAUCGAUUUUAUUUCCAUUUUGGAAGAAGGAAUGAAGGAAAUAAGGAAAACAUUGAUUAUGCUGAAAUAGUUUACUGGAGAGCUUGAACAAGAGGUAAAUCCAUUUUAAAUUAGAGGAAAACUGUUGAUUUGUAUGUAAAAUAGAAGACAAAGACAAGUUUAAAUAAAGACAAGCUAGCUAAUGAAACAGAUGCAGUGAUAUGACAAACACCUAGAAGAUGGAAUCCUGUGUUCUCAAAGAAAAAGCUAGUUCCAGAAAUAAGCUACCAAUAAUAAACUAGAGAAUGUAUUACAAGAAAGAACAACGCUAAUACCCAACAUAGCUCAAUUGCUUCAGAUAGAAAAAGAGGAGGAAAGGGUAGAACACAAGCGUGCCAGAGAAAAUUAAAGGGCAGAAGAGACACAAAAAUUCAUUGAUUUAUUAAAUUUAAUAAUUAAAUUAUACAAAGGACAAUUAAAUAAAGAAUAAAAAAUUA